GCAACUCCCUCACCCACGGACUGCGCGGAGGCAGCCCUCCACGCCGUUCCGUGGCGCCGACCUGGGCUUGAGUUAGUUUUUUUUUGUCUCCUUCAAGGGAGGAAUUGCAGAGCGUCGCAGCUGAAGCCGUCUCAGCUCGCCUCGCGGUCAUUAUUUAGGGGGUUCCGGGGGACCCCAGGCUUACAGGUGCAGUGUGACCAAACCUGAGGGGUGGUUGGCAUUGAAGCCCAGAGGCUUCGACCUCCAGAACAUUCCUGGCCCUAGCAACCAAGAAUUGGUGUGCUUUUGCACCACCUGUUCCUAAAUGGGAAGCGUGGAGAAGAAAACUUUCCAAAUUGCAUGUGAAGUUUGCAGAGCCUCACCUGACCCAUCCCUUAUUUCUUUAUCAACAACUUGGGAUUGUCUCUCAAGAAUGUAAGUGUGUCAGGAACCCUGACACUGUCAUGAAGAGCAACAAGGAAAAACUCGGAGAAUUCAAACUCAGCUGGAAACUGCUGGAGGAGCUGCCAGACACAAUCAAGGAAGAGGAGAAACACCGGGGCCUGAAAAAAAGAGCAUGAAACAUAUCUUGUAUGCACAGUGCAGAGGAAAAGGCGAGAAACUGAAAUCUCUCCAGGAUGCAGACACAAGUACAGGUAUGUUUAUGUGCAAGUUAUAGGGUGGAGGUGGGAGGCCCAAGGAAAAGAUCUCACCAACUUAAUCCAUCACACACAUACCCGAACACACACACACACACACACACACACACUGCCCCAACCAAUUAGAAACUGGAGCCCACCCCAGAUACAUGACCCCUCCUUCCAGUCCAGACACCAGAUCUCCAAAUUAAUAAUUCAUGUUCAGGAUUCUGAGAGCUGAGCACUGGAAACCUCUAUUCAGUUCUACAAUCCCAUUCCUCCUCCCUACCCCCUUGCAACCCAAGAAGCAAAGGUAGGGGAAGGGCAUUGGAAGGAAGUAAAGGAACUGCAGGACUGCAGGUGAGGGGGACUAGGGUAUGAAUAUUUAGAUAUGAAAAAGACAGGAAAUAAAAUACAAAGUAAGAGUUAAUGAGCUGCUGUUUUAUUGAUUUUGAGUCUGUACAGAGGCAGCAAUCCGUAGGUGGGGGCCCAGUGUCACUUUAUUCUCUCCAACCCCCAGCACACACACCCUUCCGGCCUCAGCUUUACAAGUUCCCUGUCUGGCUGCAACUGUGGAAAUUGUGAAAAUACAUAUUGUGAGACAGGGCGUCAAUCUGGAACAAAGAGGGAUACCUGAUUCUUAAGUUCCUAAAAGCUACUAAGCAUCCCCACCCCCACCAUGGGCUUCAAUCUCUGGGGGGAAAAAUACUUCCCAAGGUCUGUUGCAAUAAGGUGUGUACCACAAUUUUAAAAUAUCCACUUUCCUUCUCCCACCACCCUUCAUUCAAGAGCCUCAUUCUAUUCUUUAAUACUUUGAGGUAAGGAACAGCAGAGGAAUACAGAGAAAAACAUCAGGAGAUUGGGGGAAAGUUGGAGGGUGACUUGGAUUAGUCCCCAACCAGGACUGCAAUGAGGGCAGCAGAUGAGGGGUAAUGAACAGCAGAACCACCUCUCACCACCCCACACACUCCCAGUGGAGGCUCAGCGGACGAAAGGAAGGGUGAAACUGUAUCAGAUUUUUCCAUGUUCAGAAUCCUGAUCUGGUUGUAGGUUUGUGCUAUGAGUGAAGGCUGCCAGGGGCAGCUGAAGGAGGAGCUGAGUGACUCAUAGAAUGAGUCACAGAUCCAGUUAUAAACACAGAAAGAGGCCAGUCCUCCCCACCCCCACUUCAGUCAGUUCUGCUGUUAGCCAGCUUCCCUCUCCUAAAGCCCCUUACUCAUCAGGUAGAGUGAGGUGCCAUGGAGUGUGUCUACAUGGAAGACUUCAUAACAAAUUAUUUUGUUCAACGUAAGUUCUUGGGGCAAAACACCCUGUGAUUUGUAGACUGGGCAUCUACAGAGUGAGACAGAAUGCUUGUAUGACUCACUGAAUCUACAGUUAAAAGGGCCUGGAGGGGAAGGGAGACUAGAAGAAUCCAGGGUGCAGAUUAUUCCAGCCCGGGAAGGGGCUUCUCAUUCUGCCUUCUCAGCUGUGGCUAUGUGUCUGGGGCAGACUCUUGGAGAAAGAGGACAGAGUCCAAGGUGUCCAAGUAACUCAAGGACAAUCAUUUCUGAAGCUUCUUUAUUGGGAAAG